AUAUAAAAUACAACAAAUAAGAACUAUGGGUGAGAAGAUGAAAAUGGAACU
rnacentral:guide_RNA from 1 species